AGACCCGAAACCCGGUGAUCUAGCCAUGGGCAGGUUGAAGGUUGGGUAACACUAACUGGAGGACCGAACCGACUAAUGUUGAAAAAUUAGCGGAUGACCUGUGGCUGGGGGUGAAAGGCCAAUCAAACCGGGAGAUAGCUGGUUCUCCCCGAAAGCUAUUUAGGUAGCGCCUCGUGAAUUCAUCUCCGGGGGUAGAGCACUGUUUCGGCUAGGGGGCCAUCCCGGCUUACCAACCCGAUGCAAACUGCGAAUACCGGAGAAUGUUAUCACGGGAGACACACGGCGGGUGCUAACGUCCGUCGUGAAGAGGGAAACAACCCAGACCGCCAGCUAAGGUCCCAAAGUCAUGGUUAAGUGGGAAACGAUGUGGGAAGGCCCAGACAGCCAGGAUGUUGGCUUAGAAGCAGCCAUCAUUUAAAGAAAGCGUAAUAGCUCACUGGUCGAGUCGGCCUGCGCGGAAGAUGUAACGGGGCUAAACCAUGCACCGAAGCUGCGGCAGCGAACGUAUCACCCAAGACAACUUUACGGAGUUGGCGAUUGACGGAGCGAAGCGACGUCAAAGCGUUCAUUAAAGUCGAGUUGGCUUAGGGAUACGUUCGUUGGGUAGGGGAGCGUUCUGUAAGCCUGUGAAGGUGUGUCGUGAGGCAUGCUGGAGGUAUCAGAAGUGCGAAUGCUGACAUAAGUAACGAUAAAGCGGGUGAAAAGCCCGCUCGCCGGAAGACCAAGGGUUCCUGUCCAACGUUAAUCGGGGCAGGGUGAGUCGACCCCUAAGGCGAGGCCGAAAGGCGUAGUCGAUGGGAAACGGGUUAAUAUUCCCGUACUUGGUGUUACUGCGAAGGGGGGACGGAGAAGGCUAUGUUGGCCGGGCGACGGUUGUCCCGGUUUAAGCGUGUAGGUGUGUGUUCCAGGUAAAUCCGGUUCACUUUAACACUGAGGCGUGACGACGA
rnacentral:rRNA from 1 species